CAUUUAUUUACUGGUAAUAGUGCAUGUUUCAGUCGGGCAAAUCUUGAUUAAUAUUUGAUACGCCGAUUUUUGCAUAUUUCAGACACAUCCAGAAAUAUCCUCCCGAAUUUAAAGAUUAAUAUCUCCGUGAAUUUUUAAGUGAAAUACAACUGUGAUAUAUCAAAGUCUAAGUUAGUCCUUCCUCUAUUUGAUGCAAGUUAUUUCUCUUUAAA
rnacentral:lncRNA from 1 species